GGAUGUGAGGGCGAUCUGGCUGCGACAUCUGUCACCCCAUUGAUCGCCAGGGUUGAUUCGGCUGAUCUGGCUGGCUAGGCUGGUGUCCCCUUCCUCCCUCACCGCUCCAUGUGCGUCCCUCCCGAAGCUGCGCGCUCGGUCGAAGAGGACGACCAUCCCCGAUAGAGGAGGACCGUUCUUCGGUCAAGGGUAUACGAGUAGCUGCGCUCCCCUGCUAGAACCUCCAAACAAGCUCUCAAGAACUCAGAGGUAAUCAAAGCCAUAUCACAUUUUGAGGAAGCUUUUCA
rnacentral:snRNA from 1 species